GGUCGCAUGAUGUAGUCGGUUAUCAUGUCGAUCUAAUAGCUUUAGCUGUCAGUCGAAUGUCGCCGGUUCGAGCCCGGCUGUGACCA
rnacentral:tRNA from 1 species